rnacentral:rRNA from 1 species
AUGAACGCUGACAGAAUGCUUCACCCAUGCCAGUCUUUGGCGAAGCUGUGCUUGCACAGCCUAGCCAAGGCGGACGGGUGAGUAACGCGUAAGGAACUUGCCCUGCAGUCAGGGAUAACAGACGGAAACGACUGAUAAGACCUGGUAAAGUCAGGCGGACUCAUGUCCAGCCUGAUGAAAAGAGAUGCUGCAGGAGAGCCUUGCGUCCUAUUAGCUUGUUGGCGGGGUAACGGCCCACCAAGGCGAUGAUAGGUAGCCGGCCUGAGAGGGUGGACGGCCACAAGGGGACUGAGAUACGGCCCUUACUCCUACGGGAGGCAGCAGUGGGGAAUAUUGGACAAUGGGGGCAACCCUGAUCCAGCAAUUCUGUGUGCACGAUGAAGGUUUUCGGAUUGUAAAGUGCUUUCAGCAGGGAAGAAAAAAAUGACGGUACCUGCAGAAGAAGCGACGGCUAAAUACGUG